GUCUUUUUGAAAUAUAUUUAAAGUCUAACCUGCCCACUGAAAAAUUUAAAGGGCCGCGGUAUUUUGACCGUGCAAAGGUAGCAUAAUCAUUAGUCUUUUAAUUGAAGGCUCGUAUGAAUGGUUGAACGUAGUAUUAGCUGUCUCAUAAGAAAUUAAAAUAGAAUUUAACUUUUUAAUUAAAAGGUUAAAAUAAUUUUAAAAGACGAGAAGACCCUAUAGAGCUUUAUAAUAUUUAUGUAUAAGUUAUUUAGAAAAAUCUAAUUAAUACUUUAUUUAUUAUUUUGUUGGGGUGACAAUAAAAUUUAAUAAACUUUUAUUAAUUAUAAACAUUAAUUUAUGAAUAAUUGAUCCAGUUAUAUUGAUUAUAAAAUUAAGUUACCUUAGGGAUAACAGCGUAAUUUUUUUUAAGAGUUCAUAUCGACAGAAAAGAUUGCGACCUCGAUGUUGGAUUAAGGGUUAUUUUUGGGUGUAGAAGUUCAAAGUUUAGGUCUGUUCGACCUUUGAAUCCUUACAU
rnacentral:rRNA from 1 species